rnacentral:rRNA from 1 species
CUGCAAGUCGAACGAACCGGCGCCUAGUGGAAGCUUGCCAGCGGUGAGGACCAUGAGAAAUCGUGAGAAUCACCAACGGCAAGUGGAAGCUAAAAGCUGGUUAGUGGCGAACGGGUGAGUAGCACGUGGGUGACCUGCCCCAAAGCGGGGGAUAACUGUUCGAAAGGGCAGCUAAUACCGCAUGUGGUUCAGCAUUCGGUUGUUGAACUAAAGGAGCAAUCCACUUUGGGAGGGGCCCGCGGCCCAUCAGCUAGUUGGUAGGGUAAUGGCCUACCAAGGCUCUGACGGGUAGCUGGUCUGAGAGGACGAUCAGCCACACUGGCACUGAGACACGGGCCAGACUCCUACGGGAGGCAGCAGUGAGGAAUAUUGCGCAAUGGGCGAAAGCCAGACGCAGCAACGCCGCGUGGGCGAUGAAGGUCUUCGGAUCGUAAAGCCCUUUUCUAGAGGACGAGGAAGGACGUACUCUAGAACAA